GACGAACGCUGGCGGCGUGCCUAAUACAUGCAAGUCGAACGCAGUGGGGACGGGUGAGUAACACGUGGGUAACCUCCCAUCAGAGGGGAUAACACUUGGAAACAGGUGCUAAACCGAUACUGAUGGAUGGACCCGCGGGGCAUUAGCUAGUUGGUGGGGUAACGGCGCACCAAGGCCACGAUGAAUAGCCGGCUGGUGCGGUGGAUCGGCCACACUGGGACUGAGACACGGCCCAGACUCCUACGGGAGGCAGCAGUAGGGAAUCUUGCGCAAUGGACGCAAGUCUGACCGAGCAACGCCGCGUGGGUGAAGAAGGUUUUCGGAUCGUAAAACUCUGUUGUUGGAGAGGCGGUAUCUAACCAGAAAGCCACGGCUAACUACGUGCCAGCAGCCGCGGUAAUAC
rnacentral:rRNA from 1 species